AACGCUGGCGGCGUGCCUAAUACAUGCAAGUAGAACGCUGAAGAGAGGAGCUUCGCUCUUCUCGGAAGAGUUGCGAACGGGUGAGUAACGCGUAGGUAACCUGCCUUGUAGCGGGGGAUAACUAUUGGAAACGAUAGCUAAUACCGCAUAACAAUGGAUGACACAUGUCAUUUAUUUGAAAGGGGCAAUUCGCUCCACUACAAGAUGGACCUGCGUUGUAUUAGCUAGUAGGUGAGGUAACGGCUCACCUAGGCGACGAUACAUAGCCGACCUGAGAGGGUGAUCGGCCACACUGGGACUGAGACACGGCCCAGACUCCUACGGGAGGCAGCAGUAGGGAAUCUUCGGCAAUGGGGGCAACCCUGACCGAGCAACGCCGCGUGAGUGAAGAAGGUUUUCGGAUCGUAAAGCUCUGUUGUAAGUCAAGAACGAGUGUGAGAGUGGAAAGUUCACACUGUGACGGUAGCUUACCAGAAAGGGACGGCUAACUACGUGCCAGCAGCCGCGGUAAUACGUAGGUCCCGAGCGUUGUCCGGAUUUAUUGGGCGUAAAGCGAGCGCAGGCGGUUUGAUAAGUCUGAAGUUAAAGGCUGUGGCUCAACCAUAGUUCGCUUUGGAAACUGUCAAACUUGAGUGCAGAAGGGGAGAGUGGAAUUCCAUGUGUAGCGGUGAAAUGCGUAGAUAUACGGAGGAACACCGGUGGCGAAAGCGGCUCUCUGGUCUGUAACUGACGCUGAGGCUCGAAAGCGUGGGGAGCGAACAGGAUUAGAUACCCCGGUAGUCCACGCCGUAAACGAUGAGUGCUAGGUGUUGGAUCCUUUCCGGGAUUCAGUGCCGCAGCUAACGCAUUAAGCACUCCGCCUGGGGAGUACGACCGCAAGGUUGAAACUCAAAGGAAUUGACGGGGGCCCGCACAAGCGGUGGAGCAUGUGGUUUAAUUCGAAGCAACGCGAAGAACCUUACCAGGUCUUGACAUCCCGAUGCUAUUUCUAGAGAUAGAAAGUUACUUCGGUACAUCGGUGACAGGUGGUGCAUGGUUGUCGUCAGCUCGUGUCGUGAGAUGUUGGGUUAAGUCCCGCAACGAGCGCAACCCCUAUUGUUAGUUGCCAUCAUUCAGUUGGGCACUCUAGCGAGACUGCCGGUAAUAAACCGGAGGAAGGUGGGGAUGACGUCAAAUCAUCAUGCCCCUUAUGACCUGGGCUACACACGUGCUACAAUGGUUGGUACAACGAGUUGCGAGUCGGUGACGGCAAGCUAAUCUCUUAAAGCCAAUCUCAGUUCGGAUUGUAGGCUGCAACUCGCCUACAUGAAGUCGGAAUCGCUAGUAAUCGCGGAUCAGCACGCCGCGGUGAAUACGUUCCCGGGCCU
rnacentral:rRNA from 1 species